GCCCUCGUAGCUCAGUGGAUAGAGCAACGGUUUCCUAAACCGUGUGUCGGAGGUUCGAUUCCUCCCGGGGGCA
rnacentral:tRNA from 2 species